UUUUGCUUUUCAUCACCUGCAAGAUGUACAUAAAAAUCACAUAAGCUGGAAUUCAACAAAAGACCUCUGACUAUGUGAAGAUACGGUGGGAAGAUGACUGACCGCAAGACAGGAAGAGAGCCCUCACCGAGGAACCAAAUUGGCCAGUAUCUUGAUUUUGGAUUUCUCAACCUCAAGAACCAUGAGAAAUGAAUGUCUGCUGUUCAAGCCACCCAGUCAAUGUCCAUGAGAGCAAGCAUCUUUGUCCGUUUGGCUCACUGUUGGAUUCCCUGUUUUAAAAAUAUCACCCGGCCCAGCAAAAAGUUUGGAAACCUUCAUCUAGAAAGUGGUCUAGCAAAGUGUGGUCCAUGGAUGAGUUUGAUCUGCAAACUGCUUGUUAUUGGUUCAUGACAAGGUCUACCAAUUGCAUUUUGAGAGCUCAGAUAAGCAGAGAGCAAUGCAAUUUGUCACAGAAGGAUGAUUAUGUAUAUGCACUGUCAUGUCUAUUUCCAUGCCUAACUCAAAGGAGACACAAGGAGAAAGUGAGCUCAGCCUGGAUAAAUUGGAGAUUGUGAUGACUUCUAGGAAGCCUCAGGAAAGAGAAACAAAGACAACACUGGCCUGCUGCUCUCUGCAAUGGUGGGACCCUUGUGGGAUAACUGUUUUAGGAAUGAAGGUGUCUACCCUCUCUAGAAAUGAAAAUGCAAGUUUGGCUGUGGUUAAGUAUUGGAUGGAGGCAAAAAGAAACUGACAUAUUUUCUUCUUUUCAAUUGUUUGAUUCACCCUGAAGGGCAUGGCUGCUUAAUUUUUUUCUCCAGAGAUAGGUGGACAGAUAAAGACAGGAAAGUAACAUCCACAGACUGCCCUCUGUGAAGGUGACAGUGAUGAAAGGAAUGCUUGAUCUGAACACUGGUAAAUAAAGUGACCGCAUAUUUCCCUAGCCAGGAGAGCAAUCUGGCUCAAAAGAAACGAGAACAAUGACAUUACUGCCAGGCUGCUCCUAAGCCUUUGGCUAUUCUGUUCAGUGCACAAAAAAAAGCAGUGAACAUAGCUGUGACCUGCCUUGUUGGUAGUAUCACAAUUCUUUGGGGCUCCACUUUAAGAAAUUGAGACCUACCUACCUUAAUCCUUGGGGGGUUAAGCUUUCAGACUGGAAUGAUAACUGAACUAUUCAUUUGCAGUAAUUCUGGGUUUUGUGCAUAUUUUAAAAAGGAAUACCGGGCUUGCCUAUAUUCAUUACAACGUCCUCCCAGCUUUCAAAUCUUCCAAUACAAUGCCUCUUCUCUAGUCUUUUAAGCACAUCCUGUGACUGGAUAUGAUUAUGGGAGAUUUACAUGCAUCCUUGUCUAUUGUAUCAAAAGAUCAGGGAAUAAAAUGCCCAUCAUUAAAACCCCAAAGUGAUUGGAUUGGCAUGAGGAAUGGG
rnacentral:lncRNA from 1 species